AAACGGUCGGGUAAAGCCCACCGCGCGGCUGGCAACAGCCGUGGCACGGCAAGCCCCACCGGGAGCAAUGCCAAAUAGGAGCCGCAUAUGGGCCGUUUCAGCCCCGUAGGUUCGGGUUGGCAGCUAGAUGGGUCUGGUAACAGGCCCACGAGAUGAAUGAUUGCCCAAGGUGGCGUGGGAAACUACGUUAUUCUGGACAAAAUCCGGCUUAUAGGCCCCCCGCGCAC
rnacentral:RNase_P_RNA from 1 species